UCUGCCAGACGACAGAAGAAUGGUUAGUACCUCCCAAUUGAGACGCGACCGAGCUCUCAGGUGAGGAACGCCGGCCCCUGCAUCCGAACCAGACCAGCCCAGCUACUGGACCCCAGAGGACAGCAUCACUGGGACCCCAUCAAGCCUGUAUGUGCAGCAUGAGGAACUUUUGGAACCACGAGCAGCACUGCGGAGAGCCGUAAUGGUGUUUGCAGGCGAGACCACACCGAUGCACACUGUGGAAGGCAAGCUGGCGGUGAGGUACGCGAGAGUCAAAAUCCAGGUCAGAAGUGCUGAGGCCGGAGCCACAGGCAGGAGAGGAAGAUACCACCUCGUCUUCACCUGGGAGCUGACUCGGCAACGUGCUGAAUGUGCAGCGCCAGCCCAGGGGGCAGAGCAGGCUCCUGUUUCAACAACUUGUCCAUCCAGAGGAGCCCAAUGCAGAGGCAGAUGUAGAGGCCUGUCCACCUCCAAUGGUCCCGCCACCUCCUGCAGCCCCUGCUGACGAGCCAGGGCCGGCCUGUGCAGCUCUCCUCACCGAACCGAGGACCCUCCAACCCUGGCUGCAGAGCCCUGCCUCGACCCCGUCCUGGUUCCUGCGUCAGAGGAGGAGCUGCCUCUAGCAAAGGCAUCAGGGCCAGCUCAAGGCCCGAUUGUUGAAUGUGGUCACCCUGCCAUCAGAAGUAUUUGUUUUACCCUCACACAUUGACCUUUUACUUUUAUUUUCUUUAAUUAUUGCAUUUUUGUUUUCUCUAUGGCAUGAUUCAGUUUUUUAUUUUUAUUAU